GGCAACCCGCUCGGGUUCCUUUCCUCAUGGUGGAAGGUUUGUUUUUUGCUCUUUGCAAUAAAUCUUGCUACUGCUAACUCUUUGGGUCCACACUGCUUUUAUGAGCUGUAACACUCACCGGGAAGAUCUGCAGCUUCGCUCCUGAGUCAGCGAGACCACGAACCCACCAGAAGGAAGAAACUCUGAACACAUCCGAACAUCAGAAGGAACAAACUCCAGACGCACCACCUUAAGAGCUGUAACACUCACCGCGAGGGUCCACAGCUUUAUUCUUGAAGUCAGUGAGACCAAGAAUCCACCAAUUCCGGACACAAUUAAUGAUGAGAUGAGUGCCACAUGGAUCUGUGCAUGCAGAAAGAUUGUUGCACCGAAGAAGAGGAACUCCAAAUUAAAAAUUUAGGAGUUAUACAGGGACUGCAGCUUCCUUUCUCUUCUCCUGAAAAAAGAAGAGAAACCAUAUUUCCCUAAGACAGAAGGAAGAUAAGAGUAUCACAAGGAUAACCUCUGUGAGUAGAGCAUGGCUUAUCUUCUUGGCCUAUUGAAGAUUUCAUCAAAGGUAUUUAGAUCCUAAAUCAUUGGUGGUAAGUAAUUAACAUUGGCUUUA
rnacentral:lncRNA from 1 species